CAGCAGCCGCGGUAAUACGUAGGUGGCAAGCGUUGUCCGGAAUUAUUGGGCGUAAAGCGCGCGCAGGUGGUUUAAUAAGUCUGAUGUGAAAGCCCACGGCUCAACCGUGGAGGGUCAUUGGAAACUGUUAAACUUGAGUGCAGGAGAGAAAAGUGGAAUUCCUAGUGUAGCGGUGAAAUGCGUAGAGAUUAGGAGGAACGCCAGUGGCGAAGGCGGCUUUUUGGCCUGUAACUGACACUGAGGCGCGAAAGCGUGGGGAGCAAACAGGAUUAGAUACCCCAGUAGUCCCUGUCUCUUAUAA
rnacentral:rRNA from 1 species